rnacentral:rRNA from 2 species
UGAGGGAAAGGCGAAAAGAACCCCGGCGAGGGGAGUGAAAAAGAACCUGAAACCGUGUACGUACAAGCAGUGGGAGCCCCACCACUAAGCCAGUGGUGAACUCCACAUAUGCAUCCUUUGCUGAAGGUGCGGUUAACGGAGCGUAAGCGACGUUCAACCUCAAAAGAAGCAGAGGGGGCUUAGUGGUGGGGUGACUGCGUACCUUUUGUAUAAUGGGUCAGCGACUUAUAUUCUGUAGCAAGGUUAACCGUAUAGGGGAGCCGCAGG